CCUACGGGAGGCAGCAGUGAGGAAUAUUGGUCAAUGGACGAGCGUCUGAACCAGCCAAGUAGCGUGAAGGAUGACUGCCCUAUGGGUUGUAAACUUCUUUUAUCUGGGAAUAAAAUGUUCCACGUGUGGGAUUUUGUAUGUACCAUAUGAAUAAGGAUCGGCUAACUCCGUGCCAGCAGCCGCCGUAAUACGGAGGAUCCGAGCGUUAUCCGGAUUUAUUGGGUUUAAAGGGAGCGUAGGUGGAUUGUUAAGUCAGUUGUGAAAGUUUGCGGCUCAACCGUAAAAUUGCAGUUGAAACUGGCAGUCGUGAGUACAGUAGAGGUGGGCGGAAUUCGUGGGGUAGCGGUGAAAUGCUUAGAUAUCACGAAGAACUCCGAUUGCGAAGGCAGCUCACUGGACUGCAACUGACACGGAGGCUCGAAAGUGUGGGUAUCAAACAGGAUUAGAUACCCGAGUAGUC
rnacentral:rRNA from 1 species